rnacentral:sRNA from 1 species
AUUUAGGUUGGCUCCCGCAAGGGAGCCACGGCACACGAAACAGCGUUGGCUACCCUGGUUCAGGUCUGUUCCGUGUGCUGAAUAAUUGACGCAUUCAUUGAUUGGUAUCGCAUGAACCCCAUCGUAAUCACCAGGCUACAGCGUAAGCUGGGCUAUACUUUU